rnacentral:rRNA from 1 species
UGGGGAAUUGUUCGCAAUGGGCGCAAGCCUGACGACGCAACGCCGCGUGAGUGAAGAAGGCCUUCGGGUUGUAAAGCUCUUUUACCAGGGACGAUAAUGACGGUACCUGGAGAAUAAGCCCCGGCAAACUUCGUGCCAGCAGCCGCGGUAAUACGAAGGGGGCUAGCGUUGUUCGGAAUUACUGGGCGUAAAGCGCACGUAGGCGGAUUGUUAAGUCAGAGGUGAAAUCCCGGAGCUCAACUUCGGAACUGCCUUUGAUACUGGCAAUCUCGAGUCCGGAAGAGGUUAGUGGAAUUCCCAGUGUAGAGGUGAAAUUCGUAGAUAUUGGGAAGAACACCAGUGGCGAAGGCGGCUAACUGGUCCGGUACUGACACUGAGGUGCGAAAGCGUGGGGAGCAAACAGGAUUAGAUACCCCCGUAGUCCCUGAGCGGGCUGGCAAGGCGCAU